rnacentral:misc_RNA from 1 species
GUGCUUACGGCUUAAGCUGUUUUGUUCUGAUCAUUUUAGGGUUUUUUUUUAUAAUUUUUAAUUGUUUAGAGCUUGAUAUUUAUGGGUACUUUAUUAUAGUUGUUGUUGUUGCUACUUUUCGGUUUGAAUGGAUAUGGGUUACUUUUCCAGUGCUUAGAUCUUUCACUUGUAUGCGGUUUAAGUUCUUAUUGAUGGAGUCUUCUGGUGAUGCUUUUGAUGCUUCUGCUUUUGAGGUAUAAAUAAUGCCUCUGAAAAUUAGGAAUGUGAUAAUUUUCCAUUGUUAUAUUUUUCUUCAAGCUUAUGCUGAAGCCUGAAGUGUGGCUGUUCUACUUCUAGUAUGAGGUUAAUAUUUGAUCUUUGUAAUGGUCUGUUUUCUUAAUGUAGGUCUGUAGGGAUUUACUUCAAUUGUCCUUUAGCAAAAUGGAUGCAAAAACUUAUUUAGGGCUAGAGUGCUAUUAAUUUUUUCAGGUUGGAUAAUAUAAUUUGUGGUAUGUUGGUCUCGAAGCAUAUGAUCGUUGAUGCUCAGCUACUAUUUAGGUUCAUAUUCAUAGUUGGGUUGCAUAGUACUUUCUUGACUUGUUAUAGUGGGAGGAAUUUAUAACAAAGGGAAAUGCAAUUUUAUAUGAGGAAGUUAAUAGAUGAUGACAAUUGCCAAAUUGGCCCUGAAUAAUCUAGGUUUCAUCAGUAAGUUGUUCAUGAAAAGCUCAUUAUCACAGCAUAUGUGGAUCACUUGCUAGGGUGCCAUUUAAAGUGAAGAUAUCAUAUCCUUUAUGCUGUAUAAUGGGAAAAUGGCUGCAAAAGCAUAAUCAUUCUGUUUACUGUCCCUUCUUCUGUCUUAUUUAACUGGAGACAACCCAAUUCCAUUGAAUUUUGUUGCAACUUCAUGUCAAAUAAUAAUAGGGUUGGUAGGACUUUGGCUUGCUCAAAUUAUAUUAUCCAUCUUGAAAAACUAAGACUGAUUCCUAGUGAUCAUUAAAUUUCUUAUGAUAUGUCUACAUGCUUUAAGGAGUAUUAUGUUCAGCAAAAGCAUCUCUUAUAUAGGUCUUAACCUGAGAGGUACUGCAAAACUGGUGGCUAAAU